CUAAUGGCCCUUUCACACGUAGCAACUUUUCAGUCGCCGGCGACAGCAGCAGUCGCCGGCGACCGCCAGCGACCGCCAGCCAACGAUCGUGUGUGACGUAGGUAUGACGUAAGCAAGUCGGUGGCGAUCGCCGGGCCACGGCCGGGCAAUCGCCAGCAACUGGUGACGUCAGAUCCGCGUCACAGGCCAGUCGCCGGCGACUCUUCUCGAGCAGCGGACGCCGCCAUGACAGUUUUGUCCUUGACAAGUCACAGCGUUACCUGAUGAGUCAAGAGGUUCUGUACCUGAUGUACCUGAUCAAGAGUACCUGAUGAUUCUGCAACACCACCUGAUGGCCAACUCGACGGCAUUGCUGACCCGAAAAGGAGUCUAGCAGCUGAAUGUUCAACUUCUGCCACUGCACUGUUGACUCUGCCUAGAGACAGCAUCUGCACCACGGCCCACAGACGAUCUUCCGUGGGACGGUGUGCUGCGCACCAGUCACCACACUGACGGCGUUCACCUGUGUGCUGCACAACUUUCUGUGAGGUCAGGAGAUCGACACUGACGGCCCCGGACGGUGUGCUCUGAUUGCGCCGAGUGUGCUCCCUCGUGUCCGGGCCUUGAUGCCAAUACCGCACGCGAGGCGGCGCGCGUCCGCCAAGCCCUCACAUACUGCGUCCAAGGUGCAGGUGGUGUUCGGUGACAGUGUGCAGCUUCUGCCGGCCCCGUGGACGGCACCGCAUGUGACCAUGGCAUGUGCAUUCGAUUUUCUGACAUAAGUGCAGUGAAUUCAUUUGUCAUUUUGCUUCUGAAUGGUGUCGCCGCUCGGUAGGGUCGAUUCUGCCAGAGUAAAGAGGUCGCCACGAUCGGCGGCGGUGGGCGGUGCGGCAAGCCGGAGCAAGGCACUCAGCAAUCAGCUGCCGGGAGGUGGCGGCGGCGGCGGCGGCUGACGACUCGGGCCUCGAAAAUCCUGUCGUGUGCGUUGCUGGCUAUUAUGCGUUGUUGGUGUGCGCUGUUUUGCAAGGCCUUUGGAGCGGCAUGUCGAGUUUUGGACGAAGGAGCCUUGGUGUUUUGUUGGUCUAUUUUCGAUAAAAACGGUCAUGAAGAGUGAGCUGUGUCCAGGCUGAUUUUAAGAUUUCUGUCACAGUAUUGUCACCUUUGACCUAGGCUUGUGUCUUCUUGGGUAUCGGCAUAUUGUGCCACCGUCUUUGCCCCGUGUCCGCGCGUGCUGCAUUUUUAUGUAUGGUGUCAUAUACUGUCACCUCGCCAUGUUUAGUGAUAUCCACUGUGUGGAAAAAUGCAUUUUGUUAUAAGGGGGGGGGGGGGGUACACUUGUGUUCCCCAAUCCAGCGCUUUAGAUAAUACAGCAUCUGUUUUUGACAUAAUGAAAGCCUGUGUUUUAUGUGGGUGGUGGGCUUCGCCGUUCCUCAGGUCCGUUUCUGGCAUUUGAAUUUCUGCUACAUUUCUAGAAUGCCUUUUUUUCUGUUUUUCAUAUACAAAGCACGGUUCAAAUGUGUGACCACAAAUCACUGUGAUUGUCCCAUGCUUAC